GACGAACGCUGGCGGCGUGCCUAACACAUGCAAGUCGAACGGAGUGGCGAACGGGUGAGUAACACGUGGGUGAUCUGCCUUGCACUUCGGGAUAAGCUUGGGAAACCGGGUCUAAUACCGGAUAGUGCAAGAUGAGUUCGCGGCCUAUCGGCUUGUUGGUGGGGUAAUGGCCUACCAAGGCGCCGACGGGUAGCCGGACUGGGAGGGUGUACGGCCCCAUUGGGACUGAGAUACGGCCCAGACGGCUACAGGAGGCAGCGGUGGGGAGUAUUGCGCAAUGGGCGGAAGCCUGAUGCAGAGACGCCGCGUGGGUAAUGAAGGCCUUCGGGUUGUGAACUCCUUUCGACAGGGACGCGGUACCUGUAUAAGAAGCACCGGCUAACUACGUGCCAGCAGCCGCGGUAAUAC
rnacentral:rRNA from 1 species